AAAAACAAUGUUUGAAAGUGAGCGCAAUGUGCCGAAGGUCGAGUUUCCCCAAACCUCCCCAUCCCGGGGAAAGCAAAAUGCCACGGGGAGGAAGAGGCUUUCGCAGAGGCCGAAGAAGGGAUGGAGAGGGGUGCUCGGCUCUGCCUCGCCGCGGUCCCGACUCGGGGUCGCCGCACUGACGGGCAGCGGCGGGGCAGGAAGCAGCGAGACCCUUCCUUCGCCACGGCCACGGCGUCACGGGGGAGCUGACAAGGUUCUUUGAUCGAUUGAGUGAUACUGUUGCUGGUGCUUCCUUUCAAGUGCAAAAUAGGUCUGUCAACGGGAGGAGGGUCCAAGGCAUCAGGAUUUAAGCCUUGGUUGUGAAAAAGAGUUCUAACCUGAGGUCAAAGUUAUCUCUGCAACAGUAAGACCCCCAGGCUGAGUCAGCAUUAUGGAUCUAAUUCCCUUCCCUGGAGGUGCAGCUCCGAUUUUUUGCCCUGAAGAGACUACGUAAAUGUCGUCGAAGGGAACGGGCAUCCUUUGUGAGCCAAAAUAGAGGCAUGUAAAUAAAAGAAUUGGAGAUUCA